UUGAUCAUUGCCUGCUCGUCGGGACCCCAUGGCCUUUUUAGAUGUUCAAAUUCACCUUGUGAAUUUGGGGGCGGCUGUUAAAAAGGCUGUCCUGUUCCUUUAAGAGGUGGGGACUGAUUAGCCAACCACUGGCCGGAAGCGGGAGUGCCUCCUGAAUCGCGCGAGAAGAAAAUUAGAGGAGAAAAAACGGGAGCUCCGGUACAGCAUAGCCGAACGCAAGUUCACAAGAACUUUUAGCUUAACGUUCUCUGUUCUGUUUUUUGUAAUAAGGCUAGUUAAGGUGUUUUGUGCGUUCAUGAAACCAGACCACACACACAUAAACACCCACACACACCCAAAUACAAAGCUAUUUCACCUUGAUCAAUGCCAAUAAAACCCUUCAUUGCAACUACGGCCUGGUCAUUGGAACCCCACCAAUAAGCAAAGCCAGAGUUCUGACCGACUCUCCACAGUGUUUUGAACCAUCCAUUCACCAGCACAGUAAACUAUUUUUCAGUCU